CUGAGAGCUCUGCCCUUAUGAAUGGAUUAGUAUCAUUAUUGCAGGAGUGGCUUCAUGAUGGAGAGAGUGGAUUUGUCAUGAAAGUGAGUUCGGCCAUUCCUUGCUGUCUCACGUGCCACCUCUUGCCAUGGGAUGCCCUCGCCAUGGGAUGACAGCAAGAAGGCCCUUGCUUGAGUGAGCCCCUCCAUCUUCGGCUCUCCGGCCUCCAGGACUGUUAGAAAUACAUCUCUGUUCUUUGUAAAUUACCCAGGCUGUAGUACUCUGUUAUAGCAACACAAAACAGACUAAGACACUACUAUGUAGAUGAAGAAACAGGCCCAAGAGGUGAGGAGUGUUGUCCAGGUCUUCUGGCCAGAGGAGCGGCAGAGAUGGGAUUUCAACCCUGGGACUGUGUGGCUUGUGACCACUCCUAGCUUCAGCCCUGCCCGGUGCUGAGGGGUUUGGGGCCAGAACGAUGGCCAGAUGUUUGGGCACACUGGGCCCUACCCACCUGGAAAGAGGCUGGCCUGGGGUUGAAUGAGAACCAGAAGUGACUCAGGCUAGGACCCCUCUGCACCCUCCCUCAGGCCGUGGGUAAUUACCUGCCCAGGUUAAUAGCGCCCACUUCCCGCCACCUUUCAUCAAGGCUCCUGGAGCUGCCAGGCAGUAAUUAACCCUCACAGCACCCUUCUGAAGUCAGCACUGGAGGCAGACGUGUGAUGAAACACGUUUAUUACAGGAAGCACCAGUUAGCCCAGAUGCUUCUCAUCUUUGGAGUUGAGCUGCAGGCUGGAGACCUGGAAGGCCCUCGCAGCGCCUGCUCCCAUCCUCUCACCUCACGAAAGCGCAGGAAUGUGGGUUUGGAGCCAAUGAAAAGUACUGGAAUCUGGCUCUGCUCUGUGACCCUGGACAAGUCACUGCCCCUCUCUGGGCUUCAGUUUCCUCCUUGGUAACACAGAAUGAUUAUACCUACCCCUUGGGUUUGUUGACCUGAAUCUACCCCUCAGUCAUUGCCUUUCCUUCUUGCUGCAGCCACACUGGCCCCUUGACAGUUCCUUGAACACAACAAGCCCUUUCCCACCUCAGGGCCUUUGCAUGUGCAGUGCCAGAUGCCUGGAAUGUCCUUCCUUCCAAUCUCCCCAUGGCCGGCUCAUUCUCAUCUUUCUUGGCUCAAAUGUUACCUCCCCAACCUAGACAGCACCGCUGCCACCUCUUCACCCCGUCUUACUCUUCUUCAAGCACUUCUGGAGGUAUCUUGCUAUUUAUCUUGUUUAUAUCUUUUUCAGCUCCAUGAGGGCAGGGGAUUUUGUCUGUUUCAUUCACAAUGUGUUCCCAGAGCUCAGCACAGUGUCAGGCACACACUAGGUAACAGCACCUCGACUUCCUACUGAAGAACCCCCUCUUCCCUUUUCUCAGUCCAUGAGGCUGGGGGUGCCCAGAGGCCUCUGUCUCCAGGGGUGGA
rnacentral:lncRNA from 10 species